GAUGAACGCUGGCGGCGUGCCUAAUACAUGCAAGUCGAACGAAACUUCUUUAUCACCGAGUGCUUGCACUCACCGAUAAAGAGUUGAGUGGCGAACGGGUGAGUAACACGUGGGCAACCUGCCCAAAAGAGGGGGAUAACACUUGGAAACAGGUGCUAAUACCGCAUAACCAUAGUUACCGCAUGGUAACUAUGUAAAAGGUGGCUAUACUACCGCUUUUGGAUGGGCCCGCGGCGCAUUAGCUAGUUGGUAGGGUAAAGGCUUACCAAGGCAAUGAUGCGUAGCCGAAUUGAGAGGUUGAUCGGCCACAUUGGGACUGAGACACGGCCCAAACUCCUACGGGAGGCAGCAGUAGGGAAUCUUCCACAAUGGGCGAAAGCCUGAUGGAGCAACGCCGCGUGGGUGAAGAAGGUCUUCGGAUCGUAAAACCCUGUUGUUAGAGAAGAAAGUGCGUGAGAGUAACUGUUCACGUUUCGACGUUAUCUAACCAGAAAGCCACGGCUAACUACGUG
rnacentral:rRNA from 1 species